UUGUUUCAGUGGACAUCCUGCAUUUCAGAAUACUUUAGCUGCCUUGUCCUCUUCAGAGCAGAGCCCUAUUGUUCCAUAAUUGUCCCUUAUCUUUGAAAUUUGAUGCCCACUUGCACUACCCAAGUACGGUCAUUUAAAGGAAGAGCGUGAGAAUGUGCACAGUGCAGCUGAACUCCUGGAGAAGUGAGGAUUUGUCAAAGCUAUUGUAAGGGCUUCUUUCCACCUUCGCAUCCACGGUCUGUACCCAAGAAUGAAUGAGCUUAUACGGACAUAGCAUACCUCUGUGAACUUUCCAAGAGAAGUUGUCCUUUGUCACCCAUCUGCUGGAAUCCUCUUCUAGAUAAGACCCAUUACAACCGAGUAUUAGGCCAUGGACUGUGCCUAGUCAUUGACUAUCAUCUUUGUGCAGAACAAUGGGCAGGAAGGUUACCCUCUACCUACACAUCUAGACCCUGAGGAGUAACAGGAAGCAUUGUGGAAAAAGGCAUGCUGGAGCCCGGUAUUUUUUGUGGCAUUUUUUACAUAAACUGUGCUAUUCAUGUAGAAAUGUUAAGCCAAGUAAAUAAAGCAAAUCCAACUGUAAUAUUAUUACUAAUGCAGUGGUACCUUGGUUUACAAACUUAAUCUGUUCCGGAAGUCCGUUCUUAAACCAAAGCAUUCUUA